rnacentral:rRNA from 1 species
ACCAGACUUGCCCUCCAAAAGUUCCUCGUUAAAGGAUUUAGAAUGUACUCAUUCCAAUUACGAAGCCUCAUAAGAGUCCCGCAUUGUUAUUUUUUGUCACUACCUCCCCGAGCCGGGAUUGGGUAAUUUGCGCGCCUGCUGCCUUCCUUAGAUGUGGUAGCCGUUUCUCAGGCUCCCUCUCCGGAAUCGAACCCUAAUUCCCCGUUACCCGUUACAACCAUGGUAAACAUAUAAUAUACCAUCGACAGUUGAUAGAGCAGAUACUUUAAAGGAAUAGCACUGACACGAGGUCCAAAUGCUCAGCAAAGUUAUUCAGAGUCACCAUUUUGCAGCCCGAGGGCCUGGUUUGCACUAAUAAAAGCACAGCCGGACAGAGCCCAGCCGUAUAUGCAUGUAUUAGCUCUAGAAUUACCACAGUUAUCCAAUUAACGAAUCACAUCCUAUUAAAUUAUAACUGAUUUAAUGAGCCAUUCGCGGAUUCACCUUUCAUAGAUAUGAUCUUACACCUGCAUGGCUUAAUCUUUAAGACAAGCAUAUGACUACUGGCAGGAUCAACCAG